rnacentral:rRNA from 1 species
GCCCUAAAAAUAAUUUAGGGUGAUGCCUGCCCAAUGGUUAAUUUUUUUUUCUAAUAAAAAAAUUAUAUAACUUAAUGGCCGCAGUAUUCCUGACUGUGUUAAGGUAGCACAAUCAAUCGCCGCUUAAUUAGCGGAUAGUAUGAAUGGUAAUACGAAAAUUUCACUGUCUCAAAUAUAGAACUAAAAAAAUUGAAAUAAUAGUUAAGAUGCUAUUUAAAAUCGUAAGACGAUAAGACCCUAUAAAGCUUAACUACAAUUUUUAAUUAUUAAUAAUACUUAAAAAAAAGGUAGUUUACUUGGGGCAAGGGCUUUUUAAAAAUAAAAAAAGUAAGCAAAAUAAAUAAAACAUUUAUUGUAUAAAUAACAUCUUUAACAAUCACAAUGUGGGCUAUAAUGACCCGUUUACUCUUAAAAAAAAGGUAAACAAUUAUUGAAUAAAAGCUACUUUAGGGAUAACAGGAUAAUUUUAUCAUAGAGUCCAUAUCACUGAUGAAGUUUAUCACCUCGAUGUUGAAUUAAGAUUUCCUGGCGGAGCAGAAACUGCCAAAGGUAGGUCUGUUCGACCUUUAAAUAUCUU